CCGCGUUAUGGCGUUUGUGACCUUACCGGAAUCGUAACCAUCCCGCCUCCCUCCCCCUUUGUCCUCUCUUCCUCUCUCCUGUAUUUCCCCCGUCGUCCGUCCUCUUGGACGCAGCAGGUCCAGUGUGAUUGAGACCCAGCAGGUGAGGGUGACGGAGCUGGAGACGGCUGCCCAGUCCCUGAGGGACACACUGAGGGAGAAGGAGAGGGAGAUAGAGGGAUGCAUGAAGGAGAUGAGGAGACAACACGCAGACGGACACAGGAUCACCAUAAGGGACAACGUGGACGUGAUCCGCUUGCAGAAGCAGCUGUCAGACAAGAGCUCUGCCCUGCGUGUCACCCAGGAGAAGUUCACCGUUCUGCAGGAGGCUUAUGAGGCUCAAUUGGAAGAGGUAAGGGAAACUUUAAGGAAAACGUUGCACAAAAUCCAUAACAUGAAAUAACUUGUAGUCUGAUAUCCCGCAUGUCCACUGAAGGGUCAGAGGUCAAUGAAGGAGAGCCAGGGGGAGUUGCUGGAGAAGGUGGAAGAGCUUAGUGAACAACUGAAACAGGAGAGGCAGAGGGCGCUGACACUGGAGGGACAGCUCAGUGCUG
ensembl:lncRNA